rnacentral:rRNA from 1 species
ACACACCGCCCGUCACACCAUGAGAGUUGGAAAUACCCGAAGCCUGUGGGCUAACUUAAAGAGGCAGCAGUCGAAGGUAGAGCCAAUGAUUGGGGUGAAGUCGUAACAAGGUACC